UACGUAGGGUGCGAGCGUUAAUCGGAAUUACUGGGCGUAAAGCGUGCGCAGGCGGUUGGUUAAGUCUGAUGUGAAAGCCCCGGGGGCUCAACCCCCGGGGAGGCGGAUGGAUACUGCUUGGCUCGAGUCCGGAAGAGGCGAGUGGAAUUCCCGGUGUAGCGGUGAAAUGCGCAGAUAUCGGGAGGAACACCAGUGGCGAAGGCGGCUUUCUGGGCCUAUCCUGACGCUGAGGAGCGAAAAGCGUGGGGGAGCAAACCGGG
rnacentral:rRNA from 1 species